AGGGGUGUAACUCAGGGCUGGAGCACUUGCUUGGCAUGCAGAAGGACCCAGGUUCAAUCCCUGGUGGCAUCUCCA